rnacentral:lncRNA from 1 species
CGGCGUGACUCGCGGGCACUUGCCCGUUGGGGAAGAAGACCCUGACAGGUGGGGCAGACCUAUCAGUGGCUCUCUGCUCGAGCGUGCGCGUUGGGCUGGCUCGGGCGGCUCGGCACUCUGGUGAGUGGGCCGGUUCGGCCCAAGUUUGGCUGGGCCGGUCUGUUCUUCCCUUUUUUUUGUUCCUUUUCUUUUUCCUUUUUCUUUCUAUGAACUUUUGAUUUUGAACUACAAAUCAAACCAAAUAAAUUCUAGAAACUUUCUAAAAUCAUAUCUUUAUAUGAUUGAACUUCUGGGACUGAAUUCCCUUCAAAAUAAAAUGUUUAAAAAUACUUUUACCUAUAUAUUUGCCUUUAGGGCUUUAUAAAUAAUAAAAUAAAAUAGUUUUUCUACUCAAAUUUAAAUACCAAAGAUAUGGGGUAGUUUACUAAUGUACCCCUUUUAUUGCCAA